ensembl:lncRNA
CGGAAAAUUUCUAGCGCCGUUGCCUACGUUUGAGUUCAAAGCUCCUAACAAAUACCCCCUGCGUGAGGAAAGCUGUGGUCCCAGUGGCAAUUGUCCAGGACAGACGAGGAGGGGACAACACCAACAACUGCAGCGGCACAGUGCACACGCAGACUGAUGCUCAACACAUACAAUGGGAGCUCAGAAUUCCAACCAAUUCACUCCCAGGCACAGCACUCUCUUCAGACUGACUACAUCUGCCAGAAUGCUGGUGGAUGCUGAGCAUUUCGGCAUCAAAAUCAAGGAGGCAGGAAAAGGGCUUUGCUUUGGGUGCCGCUGCUCUGCCCUUCAACUUCUGUUGAGAAGGAACAUACUGCUCUGCAGCUUGCACCAAGCACAGUGUCACACCCUCAUACUCCUCAACAUGCUCCCUCACCGUGGGUAGCAGAAAUAUGUCCUGAAAAUGGGUCCAUCUAACAGAAGCAGCCAUGUUACGGCCACACGAGCUCAGUGUGGUGUGCAAUCAGCACUAACUUCGUGAUGAAAACAUGCCUGGGGUUUCCUGGUGAGCUCUGAGACAGUAGUGCAGACCCAUAACAUUAAGGAAUAACAGCAAUACAGCAUUAAUAUCACCCUAAGUCAUUUCCUAGAACAAACCAGUCCACAGCAAGGAUGGGUCCUCAGGCAGGGAUUUGCUCCUGGAGGAGCUCAUAUGCAGAAGAAAGACAAAGUUUGUUAUUGUUACUGCGUCCCCGCCAGAACCCUGGUAAUCCACCGCAGCACAAAGCACAUCUCAAGGCCAGGCUGCCCUCAUUACUCUUGUAUAACCCCUCUAAAAAAAGUGAAAACAAUAAAUCAGCGGAAUUGCCAAAGCAGGAAGAUGGAUUUCAGCUGGCAGAGGUUUGAUAACACAGUUGCUAACACAGCGUAAUUCUAUUUGGGUAUGUCUGUGUAAUGGCACGUGCAGUGCUGCAGAGGACAUGGAAAGGGACUGACAUCUUUGUUGGUGCACCAGAAGGAACAGAGUAAGGAACUGCUCCCAGGCUGCAAGGAUCAAUCUAUUCAGCCGUUGGUCUUUCUUCCCCCAGUGCCUGUUUUUUGCCCUCUGCUUCUUUUUCUCACCCAGGAAUCAGAAAAACAGCAACAGGGUGAACCUGUUUGCUGCUCGGGACUCUCC